GCAUUUCCGCACAGAGUUUGCAGACUGGUUGCAGGGACAGACAGCAGGCAGGUAAACCACUGGCUAAGUGGUUUUGGAUAGUGGUGAAAUGUUGUGAAGGAAACAAGCUGGCAGGAGAAUGACUGCAUAGGCUCAUUCAGUGGGGUGGCCAGGGAAGCCCUGUGGAAGAAGGACAUUCUGCCAGGGACUUGAAUGCCACGGAGGAGCCAGGCCACGAAGAUUGUGUCAGGGCAUAGGUUCCUGGGACACGGGGCAGCACGCCUGAAGGCCCCGGGUUGGCAUGUUUGAGAAGUGGAAGGUGGUGAGGGUUGAGAGGUCACCGGGGCUACGUGAUCAACAAAUACAAGCGCAGACGAUUUCAGAAAACCAAGAACCUGCUGACAGGAGAGACAGAAGCGGACCCAGAAAUGAUCAAGAGGGCUGAGGACUAUGGGCCUGUGGAGGUGAUCUCCCAUUGGCACCCCAACAUCACCAUCAACAUCGUGGACGACCACACGCCGUGGGUGAAGGGCAGUGUGCCCCCUCCCCUGGAUCAAUAUGUGAAGUUCGACGCCGUGAGCGGUGACUACUAUCCCAUCAUCUACUUCAAUGACUACUGGAACCUGCAGAAGGACUACUACCCCAUCAACGAGAGCCUGGCCAGCCUGCCGCUCCGCGUCUCCUUCUGCCCGCUCUCGCUUUGGCGCUGGCAGCUCUAUGCUGCCCAGAGCACCAAGUCGCCCUGGAACUUCCUGGGCGAUGAGUUGUAC
rnacentral:sRNA from 1 species